UCAUCCUCCUUCUCCUAGUUGUCAUAUUAAUUGUAAAAAAGAGCAAACUUGCUAAAAAACGCAAAGAUGCCAUGGGGAAUACCCGGCAGGAGAUGACUCACAUGGUGAAUGCAAUGGAUCGAAGUUAUGCUGAUCAGAGCACUCUGCAUGCAGAAGAUCCUCUUUCCAUCACCUUCAUGGACCAACAUAACUUUAGUCCAAGAUGUAAGUUUUUCAUUAAAAUUUUAAUAAAUGAUGUUACAACUCAUUUCACUUUGAAUUCUACACAUUACCUUUUGAGUAAUGAGAGAGAGUAGGAAAGUGAGGGGAGA
rnacentral:sRNA from 1 species